rnacentral:tRNA from 1 species
GCAAUGGUGGUAGAACUCCUGUCUUCCAUGCAGGAGAACCAAGUUCGAUUCCUGGCCAAUGUA